rnacentral:rRNA from 1 species
AGAGUUUGAUCCUGGCUCAGAUUGAACGCUGGCGGCAUGCCUUACACAUGCAAGUCGAACGGCAGCACGGGAGUAAUCCUGGUGGCGAGUGGCGAACGGGUGAGUAACAUAUCGGAACGUGCCCAGUCGUGGGGGAUAACGCAGCGAAAGCUGUGCUAAUACCGCAUACGAUCUCUGGAUGAAAGCGGGGGACUCUGCAAAGAGCCUCGCGCGAUUGGAGCGGCCGAUAUCAGAUUAGCUAGUUGGUGGGGUAAAAGCCCACCAAGGCGACGAUCUGUAGCUGGUCUGAGAGGACGACCAGCCACACUGGAACUGAGACACGGUCCAGACUCCUACGGGAGGCAGCAGUGGGGAAUUUUGGACAAUGGGCGAAAGCCUGAUCCAGCAAUGCCGCGUGCAGGAUGAAGGCCUUCGGGUUGUAAACUGCUUUUGUACGGAACGAAACGGUUCACUCUAAUACGGUGGGCUAAUG